CGCGGCCACGUCUGAUGUUAGGGGCCAGAACUGAGCUCUCUGCUAUCACAAGCAGGCAGAGAAGCAGGCAGAGAGAGAGGAGGAAGCAGGCUCCCCGCUGAGCAGAGAGCCCGAUGCGGGGUUUGAUCCCAGGACCCUGGGAUCAUGACCUGAGCCGAAGGCAGAGGCUUUAACCCACUGAGCCACCCAGGCGCCCCUAUAU
rnacentral:lncRNA from 1 species